rnacentral:rRNA from 1 species
UACGAAGGGGCUAGCGUUGCUCGGAAUGACUGGGCGUAAAGGGCGCGUAGGCGGUUUGGACAGUCAGGCGUGAAAUUCCCGGGCUUAACCUGGGGGCUGCGCUUGAUACAUCCAGGCUUGAGUGGGGAAGAGGGUCGUGGAAUUCCCAGUGUAGAGGUGAAAUUCGUAGAUAUUCGGAAGAACACCAGUGGCGAAGGCGACUUGACUGGACACAUAUUGACGCUGAGGUGCGAAAGCGUGGGGAGCAAACAGG